ensembl:Y_RNA Y_RNA Y RNA
GGCUGGUCUGAGUGCAGUUGUGUUUACAACUAAUUGAUCACAACCAGUUACAGAUUUCUUUGUUCCUUCUCCACUCCCACUGCUUCACUUGACUAGCCUUUU